CGGACGGGUGAGGAACACGUACGAGACCUGCCCUUGGAUGGGAAUAACCCUUCGAAAGGGGGGCUAAUGCCGCAUACGGUCCCAGGCAGCAAGGUCUGGGAGGAAAGCUCGAGAGGGCGUCCGAGGAGGGGCGUGCGGCCGAUUAGCUAGUUGGUGGGGUAAAGGCCUACCAAGGCGACGAUCGGUAGCUGGUCUGAGAGGAUGGUCAGCCACACUGGGACUGAGACACGGCCCAG
rnacentral:rRNA from 1 species